rnacentral:lncRNA from 1 species
UUCUUUCUGUGGUUGCAGGCCUCAGCUCAUUUGUGGGGUUCAGCUUCUUUUUGCUCUAUCCCACUUUACAUCCAUUUUCCCUUCCCAUCUGCCUGCCCUGUGGAUAUCAAGCUCCAGCAUAAAACCUGAGGACAACAGCUUCACAGAGAUUGCUUAACCAGCUCCAACUGUCAACUGGAUCAUAACAAUCAUGCAAUGAUACAUCAGGACCCUCGACCUCACAACAUUUUGUCUACCAUAUGCUUAAAAGAAGAAAAGAGACCAGGUGUAAAGAAUGAACACAUACUGUUACUUUCAGCUAGCAAGCAAGGAAGCCACCCAGGCAGCUGCCCUGAACUCAAACCUACACAGACAGCUCCAGAGCCAUUCUCCAUCAGCGCCAUGCUCAUCAGUACCAUUCAUGUUUUGUUUUCUUCCUUGAAUUCUAUUUUGUCUUUAUUUUUACAGUGUUGUCUGACCUAUAUGUACUCAUUCUUUGUUUUAAACCACUUAGUGCCAAUUCAUUUUACGUUUAAUGGUUAACACCGUAUAGCUAAAUUUUUUUAGAGAAUUUGGUAGUC